UACAGGGGGUGCAAACGUUGCUCGGAAUCAUUGGGCGUAAAGCGCACGUAGGCGGUCUGUUAUGUCGGAUGUGAAAGCCCUUGGCUCAACUGAGGAAGUGCAUCCGAAACUGGCAGGCUAGAGUACUAAAGAGGAUCGCGGAAUUCCCGGUGUAGAGGUGAAAUUCGCAGAUAUCAGGAGGAACACCGGUGGCGAAGGCGGGUCUCUGGGCCGAUACUGACGCUGAGGAGCGAAAGCGUGGGGAGCGAACAGG
rnacentral:rRNA from 1 species